rnacentral:rRNA from 1 species
GAUGAACGCUGGCGGCGUGCCUAAUACAUGCAAGUCGAACGCUUCACUUCGGUGAAGAGUGGCGAACGGGUGAGUAAUACAUAAGUAACCUGGCAUCUACAGGGGGAUAACUGAUGGAAACGUCAGCUAAGACCGCAUAGGUGUAGAGAUCGCAUGAACUCUAUAUGAAAAGUGCUACGGGACUGGUAGAUGAUGGUCUUAGGGCGCAUUAGCUUGUUGGUAGGGUAACGGCCUACCAAGGCGACGAUGCGUAGCCGACCUGAGAGGGUGACCGGCCACACUGGGACUGAGACACGGCCCAGACUCCUACGGGAGGCAGCAGUGGGGAAUUUUCGGCAAUGGGGGAAACCCUGACCGAGCAACGCCGCGUGAAGGAAGAAGUAAUUCGUUAUGUAAACUUCUGUCAUAGAGGAAGAACGGUGGAUGUAGGGAAUGAUAUCCAAGUGACGGUACUCUAUAAGAAAGCCACGGCUAACUACGUG